CCGCCUCCACUGAUAGACCUUGGACAGUUUGCUGGGGUUUUGUUUGUUUGUUUGUUUGUUUGUUUGCUCUGGGGAUGCAAAGGAGGGAAAUCCCUGCACUUCCUGUCUGUCUUUUUGGCAGCCCAGAUUGAACUGGGGACUACAUCU
ensembl:snoRNA